GCCGGUGUAGCUCAGUUGGUAGAGCAGCGCAUUCGUAAUGCGAAGGUCGGGGGUUCGACUCCUCUCACCGGCACCA
rnacentral:tRNA from 12 species